GGCUAAGAUUUUUUAUUUUUUAUUUAUUCUUCAUCUCUCCUCUCUCGAUUAUUUCUCUCUGUGCUCACGACAAAAACUCUCCGUCGAUUCAGUCGAUGAUUUCUCUGGCUUCAGUGUUGGCGUUGAUUACAAAGUCAGAAGAUAUUCGUUCUCUGCUCUUCUCUUCUCUCUGUCUAAGCUAUCAUUGUUCGUUUGAAAUGAAGGUUUUCUGAUUUGGGAAUUGAUUUUAGUAAACUUAGGGUUCUUUCAAUUGGGCAUUGAUGUUAGCAAAUUUAUGGUUUACGGUUGUUAGCAGCUUAAGAAUUGGAUAAUUUAAUGGUUAAAUGGUUUGCGGUUGAUUCGUUGAGUACUUUUUUUUAAUGAGUUUGCUUGAUUUUGAUUCAUUUCUCUGUUUUUGGUGAGUUUAAUUGGAGAACUUGCAACAGAUGGUAGAGGUAUUCAAGGUUCUUUGCAAAGUGAUGAUGCUUCUGCACUCGGAUACACUCUUCUUGUUGAAUAUGUGUUUGACAUUCAGAGGAAACCAGGAAGUGUCCAUCAUCAAUGUCUGCUAAAACCAACAAGAGGCAAGAUACAAUCUGGCAAUGGAAACUUCUUCAUGAAAGUCUCCACGGUAAAGGCUUCAUGUAGAAGCAGAGAAUUUGAUGAAACUAAUAACAAGAAGAUUCCAAUAAGAAGAUGAAGAAGAGAAGAAAAGACAUACUUGCAUACAUGUAAUUGUAAUAGUUUAGGAUCAACCCAAGUUUAGGAUCAACCAUUGGACACAUAAAUUUGAAAGUUUCUUAAUGAAAUUCUUAACUCAACAUU